rnacentral:misc_RNA from 1 species
GAUGAAGAACGCAGCGAAAUGCGAUAACUAAUGUGAAUUGCAGAAUUCAGUGAAUCAUCGAGUCUUUGAACGCACAUUGCGCCCCCUGGUAUUCCGGGGGGCAUGCCUGUCCGAGCGUCAUUGCUGCCCUCAAGCACGGCUUGUGUGUUGGGCUCCGUCCCCCCGGGGACGGGCCCGAAAGGCAGCGGCGGCACCGAGUCCGGUCCUCGAGCGUAUGGGGCUUUGUCACCCGCUCUGUAGGCCCGGCCGGCGCCAGCCGACAACCCAUCAUCCUUUUCCGGUUGACCUCGGAUCAGGUAGGGAUACCCGCUGAACUUAAGCAUAUCAAUAAGCGGAGGA